rnacentral:rRNA from 1 species
AGGACGAACGCUGGCGGCGUGCUUAACACAUGCAAGUCGAACGGAUCAUGGGCUUCGGUUUGUGGUUAGUGGCGAACGGGUGAGUAACACGUGGGUAACCUGCCCCUCACUCUGGGAUAACUCCGGGAAACCGGGGCUAAUACUGGAUAUGACCUCAUGCUGCAUGGUGUGGGGUGGAAAGGCGUGUUGUAAAAGGCACUGUCGGUGAGGGAUGGGCCCGCGGCCUAUCAGCUUGUUGGUGGGGUGAUGGCCUACCAAGGCGUCGAC